rnacentral:rRNA from 1 species
CAGCAGCCGCGUAAUACGAAGGGUGCAAGCGUUAAUCGGAAUUACUGGGCGUAAAGCGUGCGUAGGCGGUGAGUUAAGUCUGCUGUGAAAUCCCCGGGCUCAACCUGGGAAUGGCAGUGGAUACUGGCUCGCUAGAGUGUGUCAGAGGAUGGUGGAAUUCCCGGUGUAGCGGUAAAAUGCGUAGAGAUCGGGAGGAACAUCAGUGGCGAAGGCGACCAUCUGGGACAACACUGACGCUGAGGCACGAAAGCGUGGGGAGCAAACAGGAUUAGAGACCCCUGUAGUCCCUGUCUCUUAUACA